rnacentral:rRNA from 1 species
UACGUAGGGUGCGAGCGUUGUCGGAAUUACUGGGCGUAAAGAGCUCGUAGGUGGUUUGUCGCGUCGUCUGUGAAAUUCCGGGGCUUAACUCCGGGCGUGCAGGCGAUACGGGCAUAACUUGAGUACUGUAGGGGAGACUGGAAUUCCUGGUGUAGCGGUGAAAUGCGCAGAUAUCAGGAGGAACACCGGUGGCGAAGGCGGGUCUCUGGGCAGUAACUGACGCUGGAGGAGCGAAAGCAUGGGUAGCGAACAGGAUUAGAUACCCCUGUAGUCC